ensembl:lncRNA
CUGGUCAGUAAACUCAACUGGAGGGGAGGAGAUUACACCAGCAUGUGAGUACCAAGAAGGGGACCAUCCGGAGCCAUCUUGGAGGCUGCCUACCACACCUUACUUAAAAACAGACAAGAGUCAGAAUCUCUUCACUUCAUCUGCUUUUCAUGAGAGUGAAACAGUGUUACCUGUAGCAAUACAGGGCCUCAGUCUGAUGUCGAAGAUUUUCCUGAGAUCUCCUACAGACAGAAGGAAUAUGGAAGACAUUUUCCCCAGAAUAGCAACUACAAUAAUUCUAUAAGAUGAUCUUAUCCUGCUAAGAGUAUUAACAAGAAAAAUCACUAAUAGGAAAAUUAAGAGACAUUCAUUACAAAAGUGAUUACUCAAACUCAAAUACAGUUAUCUCAUUUCUCAAAGAAAAGUCUAAAAACCCAGAGAAUUAAAAUCAGAGUUUUUGAGGCAGUUUCCAUAACUCCAUCAUUUCCAGCAGGGAGAAAAAUCAGGUAGUAAUGCACCUCAUCAUUCUCCCUCAACAUUAACUCAAUGGAACUACCACUCUCUCUCAAUGGUUCCAGUAUAUAAACUUAUUUUCUAGCUAACACAUCUACGAAAAAUGCCUUUUUAAACCCCUUUUAGAAACAGUAGAUGCAACUGAUAACCUCAAAAGAAUGAAGAGUUUAUUUGCCAGGCACAACCUUGGCACACAAAUUCUGUUGCUCUCUAAAGUUGUUUCACCUGACAACAUUAAUUCUUUUCUACUUUAAUGAAGAAGAAAGUUGUACAUGUCACGAGGUUUCUUUGCUUCGUCCUGAAAUCACAGGCAGCCUCUUGCCCUGGGAGUGUCGUCUAGGGCCCUGAAAGUGGGCUCUUUCAUCUGAGCCCGGUUUUGAAUCACAGCCUCUUCAUGUGGUUUUUCUUAGGAGGAGACAGAAUACAAAGAUACCUCCUGCACAGAUGUUCCCUGGCUUAAAGAGGAUGAGUCUUGAAAGGCUUGACUGAAAUUUGAGCAGAAGUUGCAUGUUUUUAUGAGAAAAGUAAAUCACACUCCCAGAAUAGUCGGAAGGGGUGGGGUUCACUGAUGUCUUGGCUCAGCUGGCCUCUAUCUGGGCACUUAAGAAGGAAGUAAAUCAUUUAAUAGGAAGCUCUGAAGCCACCUUUAUGGAUGCUGCUGCUGGACAACUGUGGAUUCCAUUAGCCAACUUGCCACAUUGGAAGGAGAGACUAGAAUCAGAAAUUUGUGAAAACUUUCCAAUGCUGGAGGAAGUGUUUCAGCAGUUGAAAAUAAUAAAAUCUAUAGUCAAUUUGUCAGAAGUCUGCAGAUACUCAGAACUACUACAAAAGUCUUCUGAAAAUUACUUCUGUUGAGAUGGGAAAAUGAAUUCAUAAUUCUUUUCUUACAAGUUUCAUCAUAGCACCAAUGAUGAAAGUUCUGGAAAGAUACCCUCAUUAAUUUGAGGACAAGAGAAAUAAAAUCAUGAAUUCAACCCCUAAAGAAAGAAUCUGGGAAAUAUCUAGUGUUUCAUAAGACAAACUAUCCUCACAUAAAAAAGAGCAUAAUGAAACAUAAUGAAAAUUAAUAUUCAGUUCGCCUCUUACUCCUUUACGCGUCAGGGUUUUCAGCACUUAUUCCUAUGAAAAUAAAAGUCAAAAUCAAAU